rnacentral:rRNA from 1 species
UUGAUUCUGGCUCAGGAUGAACGCUGGCGGCAUGCCUAAUACAUGCAAGUCGAACGGGGUGAAGCCUUCGGGUUUCAUUCAGUGGCGAACGGGUGAGUAAUACGCAGGGAACCUGGCCAUGGCAGGGGGAUACACUCUGGAAACGGAGCAUAAGACCCCAUAGGCAGUAAGGCGGCAUCGCCUUGCUGUUAAAGAAAGCUGAAAGGCUUUGGCGAUGGAUGGACCUGCGGUGCAUUAGCUUGUUGGUGAGGCAACGGCUUACCAAGGCGAUGAUGCAUAGCCGGCCUGAGAGGGCGGACGGCCACACUGGGACUGAGACACGGCCCAGACUCCUGCGGGAGGCAGCAGUAGGGAAUUUUCGUCAAUGGGCGCAAGCCUGAACGAGCAAUGCCGCGUGAGUGAGGAAGGUCUUCGGACUGUAAAGCUCUGUUGCCGGGGAAAAAGGGGAAAUGCAGGAAAUGGCAUUUCAUGGAUGGUACCCGGCCAGAAAGCCACGGCUAACUACGUGCCAGCAGCCGCGGUAAUACGUAGGUGGCGAGCGUUAUCCGGAAUGAUUGGGCGUAAAGGGUGCGCAGGCGGUCUGUUAAGUCUGAAGGCAAAGGGAUGAGCUCAACUCAUUUAUGAUUCAGAAACUGGCAGACUUGAGGACAGGAGAGGGCGGUGGAACUCCAUGUGUAGCGGUAAAAUGCGCAGAGAUAUGGAAGAACACCAGUGGCGAAGGCGGCCGCCUGGCCUGUGACUGACGCUGAGGCACGAAAGCGUGGGGAGCAAAUAGGAUUAGAUACCCUAGUAGUCCACGCCGUAAACGAUGAGGAGCAGGUGUUGGGAGUGAAAUCUCAGUGCCGAAGCCAACGCAGUGACUCCUCCGCCUGGGGAGUAUGCACGCAAGUGUGAAACUCAGAGGAAUUGACGGGGGCCCGCACAAGCGGUGGAGUAUGUGGUUUAAUUCGAAGCAACGCGAAGAACCUUACCAGGUUUUGACAUCGGAUGCGAAGGCGCAGAGAUGCGCUGGAGGCUAUCAUCCAGACAGGUGGUGCAUGGUUGUCGUCAGCUCGUGUCGUGAGAUGUUCAGUUAAGUCUGGCAACGAGCGCAACCCCCGUGGUAUGUUACUAACGCAUUUGGGCGAGGACUCAUAUCAGACUGCCGGUGACAAACCGGAGGAAGGCGGGGAUGACGUCAAAUCAUCAUGCCCCUUAUGGCCUGGGCUACACACGUACUACAAUGGCGUCUACAGAGGGAAGCGACCCUGAGAAGGGAAGCGAAACCGGAAAAGGGCGUCCCAGUUCGGAUUGAAGUCUGCAACCCGACUUCAUGAAGAUGGAAUCGCUAGUAAUCGCGGAUCAGCAUGCCGCGGUGAAUACGUUCCCGGGCCUUGUACACACCGCCCGUCAAACCAUGGAAGCCGGCAACGCCCGAAGCCGGUGGCAUAACCUUUUAGGAGUGAGCCGUCGAAGGCGGGGCCGAUGACUGGGGUUAAGUCGUAACAAGGUAGCC